GGCCCGCACAAGCGGUGGAGCAUGUGGUUUAAUUCGAUGAUACGCGAGGAACCUUACCAGGGCUUAAAUGCAGAACGACAGAGGUGGAAACACCUCCUUCUUCGGACGGUCUGCAAGGUGCUGCAUGGUUGUCGUCAGCUCGUGCUGUGAAGUGUCGGGUUAAGUCCCAUAACGAGCGCAACCCCUAUUUCUAGUUGCCAGCGGUCGGCCGGGGACUCUAGAGAAACUGCCAGCGUAAGCUGUGAGGAAGGUGGGGAUGACGUCAAAUCAUCACGGCCCUUACGUCCUGGGCUACACACGUGCUACAAUGGUAGGGACAGAGAGUUGCCAACCCGCGAGGGUGAGCUAAUCCCAAAACCCCAUCUCAGUUCGGA
rnacentral:rRNA from 1 species